rfam:Vibrio angustum S14 1099604003203, whole genome shotgun sequence.
AAUAAUUGGUGGUGGCACUCCUACUUACGGGCGGUGUGAAUAGCUGUAACUCAGCAAAAUUGCAACGAGCCCGCCAUCAAUGCGGGCUUUUUUAU